rfam:Homo sapiens chromosome 14, GRCh38 reference primary assembly.
GCCAGGUGUGGUGGCUCACGCCUGUAAUCCCAGUACUCUGGGAGGCCGAGGCAGGUGGAUCACCUGAGGUCAGGAGUUCAAGACCAGCCUGACCAAUAUGGUGAAACCCUGUCUCCA